AGUGCGGACUCCAGAUUUGAAAUCAACUAUACACUCUUUUGUCUUUUGCAUAAUACCUGGGGGAGUUUACUACAAAAUAUCUAACAGGAUCGUGGAAUAUUCCGCGUAUCUUUUAUAAAAGCAGGUGCGAUACGAGCAAAGUGAUUUCAAGUACAAACACUGUUAGCAUUUGUAAAGAGCCUAGUUGGGAGCCUUCCCCGCCGAGACCAGUGUUUUGUGUAUUGCUUUGUUUUGGAGAUGUAUAUCUCGGGCAAUAUUUGACAAGCAUCUAGUUUGGAUUUUUUGCACACAUAGGAAACUGUAUCCCUAUCAUCUUUUUUUAGACGACAUUCUGAAAAACAAAUAGGUUUAACAACUAUUGGCAUGCUACAGUGCGUGUGAAUUCACGAGAACAACACGUCUUCCAACUAGCACUAAUGAAUGGAAAUAGACAAAGAUUGUUGGUUUCCGCUUAACUCGGACUCUACAAACCUGCGCAAAUUCCAACUCGCAAUUACAACCGCAGAGGAACAGUAUUUACAUUUAGUUCGUAUAAGACUGAUUACUUUUAUUGGUCUUUUAUAAUUAUCCGUCGGCCGAUUGGGUCCUGUAUCGAUACGCAAAUAUCUCGCCUUUUCCAUGGCUGAUUUAAGGACUUUGCGGUCCUUUUCAAACUAGCCGAAGUUGUCAGAACUUCAUAGUUCAGUGCAGUUUGUAAAAAGAGACUGUCAAUGUGAUCACUCUCUUCUUCGCUUGAGUUGCUCGUUUGUCAUAGCUCUUACACAAAAGCUUUCCAAUUGGUUAGCGAUAUCUGCAUUUGAAUGGGUCCCUCUGCCUCUCGUUCAAAGUCUAAUAUCGUAAUACCUGCUCUACGCACACAUAGAAAACACGUGGUCUAAGCAAACGAGCCUGAAACAUCCACCAACUGGGUUCACCAAAUGUCACUUAAACACACUGUACAUUCAUUACAAAAAAACGACCGGAAGUUCAUUCUUUAGAACUUUACGCAACUUCUUGUUAACAUGAUCCGCAAUAGGUGACUCUAAAUCUCUGCGCUAAUUUGCAUCUGACGGACAAAGGGUUGCAAACUACAAUAGCACUAAGAAACCCCAUAGAUCCCGUUAAUAAGUUUAAGGAUUAUUCUCCAGGCACUUAGAUUAACGAAGCCAGCUAAAAGACUGAUGUGGAAGAAACUUAUGGAUAGUGACUUUGCGAGCGCAGGGGAAUAUAAGACCAAGCGUGUAAAGACAGCGUGUAUUUGGAUUUUUCUCGUUGGACAGAAACAGGUAGUUUUUUUUUCCCGGCGUGUCCUGAUAGAAACGCCUAGAAGUUGCACACGGAUGUUCUGUUUGAAACGCUAUUUUUUACCGCACCGUAUCCGCUACUAUCACCAAAUCCGAUACAUCGCUAGGAAAAUCUACAAACAUUCAUAAUUGCUUCCUCUAAACUGACAGGCAUUUUUUUAGAUUUGACAAUCAUAACAGCUAAUAGAAAGGCUAUUGUGUUUGAGUUGAGCUGGCUGGUAAUGGGGCAUAGCUGCUUUUGUUGCGCAUCUGGCGAGCUGAUUUCUCUAGGGGGUGGUCAGAUCGUUCUUUGUCUAUACAACAAGACCGUGAUCAUCGCUUUCAAAGAUGAAGAGCAUCACGGAGUGUUUUGUCUGCGGCUAAGCACACAAAAAAUUGGCAAAAUUUAUUAUUAGAUGGAACACCAAUGAAAAAUUUAUCGCCUGCAAAAUUUUAAUUCCGUGAAAUGAAUAAAAGUCUGAAAAAGCUACAGAAUAUUUUGGGGCUUCUCCCACAAAAAUAGUUGUUAUGUUUGGUAAAAUGCCUUUGGCAAGGAUAUAAAUGUCUCCCGAAGUCGUGGGUGGUUUUCAAGGAGCCACUUAUCAAGAGGAAGUUAACAAUGUGUAAGGCUAAGGAUGCCGCAAGACUUGCGUACUAACCGAAUGCAGAGGAUGACGAAAUGGCGGUUGACAGCGACAAAGAAACACUAUCAAUAUGAGUGUUUAGAGUAUCAGCGGCAACACUAACCAUGGCAAUAACAAAAUAAUCACAACAAGAACCGCAAGUCGAAAAUAACAACGCCAACAAUAAUAAGCAAAUGCCCAGACGGAGCGGCCCUCUGUACCUGUGCUCAUACCAGUCCUUGUCAACUCGAGGUCUGCUGCCACCAACAAAACCAGUAAAAAACAGUAGAUGACAUGACAACAAGGAGGUAAUAAUAACACAGCACCAUUGAAUAAAAAAGAGAAACAAGCAAUACAUAGAGAAACUAAUUAAACUAGAUAAGAUCGUUGUGAAGCCGCCGAUUUGCCUAGUAGAAUACCUGACAAAGCAGCCAAUUUUUUGGGCAGGAUUAGGGAAUAUAGCGCAUUCUCGAUUCAAUUUGCUAAAUGAAGUAUAAACUUUGUUUUUAGAUAAUUAUUUCGCGGUUUCAUGACAAAAUCGAAGAAAACAAUAACAAACGUGCGGCUUAAAAAAUGCUCUUUAAUUUCUACAGCACCGGGUCAAUGAGAAUCUUUUGCGAGAAGUCCAUAGAGAUUUUAUGACAGUUUUUAUUCCAGUAUUUUAAACAAUGAAAAGAUGGAGCUGUUUGAGAAGUUUUUUUGUCUGGAACCCGCCAAGAACAGUGUGCGGCUCACACUCCUUGCGGUGACUAAAACUCCUAAUGCUUGUGACUUCCUCAAUUCUACUAUUCCUUUUCAUUAUUCACUAUUUCUUUCCACUAUUCAUUUUCACUUUUUUGCACAAAACUUUGUGAUAAAACAACUCUUUUGUCAAAUUUCGCAAAGCCAUAUUACUAUACAAAGACAUUAAGGAAGAUAGGAAGACUUUUCUAAUGAAAAAAAAACUUAUUAACAUUCAAAUCUUGCAUUCACAGAUCGCGUUUGUUUUGAAAACUUCUUUAUGGGAAAUUAAAAAAAGGAUGUCAAUAAAUACCGAAAGUAAUUGUCGUAGGCAUGUUAUUGCAAUACUUCCUAUUUUCUAAUUGUGGUAAUUAUAUUUUUCUAAAGAAUUUGCAUGCGUAAGACAUAGAUCAGAAAACCUGUGUAUCGGUACCAAGGUAAAAUACAGAUAAAACAGCAAGAAAUACCAGAAAAGACAAGGGAGGUGGUUUUGGGGUGUUCUUAACUAAUUUGUUUAGCCGAGCCUCUGUCUGUUCAUUUAUUCCCUGAUUUCGUUUUUCUAUCUCGGUAUUUUUUUAAGAAAAUAAAAGCUUAUAGCCCAGUCUUUUUAGCAGCCGUUCGUGUCACGCAACGCCCCCGCCCCCAUACAACAUGACAAAUAGCCAGCCUAGACACUGAGAAAACUCAUUCAUAAGACCACAAUUGACUCGCCUGACCGCACGGUUUAAAAAUAUACACCUGGAUUUCACCUCUCGGAAUUGACUUAGAGAUUACCGCCGAAUAGCCCACAUACUCUGUCAUGUCAGUGUAAGAGAGCAUCACUUACAAAGAAAAUUGGCUAAACACUCGGAAUUGACUCAGAAAUCACCGCCUUAUAGCCAGAACAAGAGGCUGUAGUUUCAAUGUUCUAGUCUAGCUACAGGGAGAGGGAACAUGUCAUCCCAACGCCAUUUGGUUUACUGCGCGGGUCAAAAGUGUACAAAUGAAUCGUUGAGUUUCAAUCGCCAGUAACCAGCAGUUCGGAAAUGACAAUAGGGUGUCGGCAUAAAGACGAACGCUCGCUUUGCCGGUUGAGCAUAUUGAAACAGUCUUUGACAGCCGCCAUUUUGUCGUCCUAGUAAAGUACCAAGUGCGAAAAAGCAUCCAUUUCCGAUAUAUUCGAUUAAAUUCGAGAAUAAAGGAUUAACUUUUUUUCAGAUGAUUAUUUCGAGAUUGUAGUACAUUAUCUGCCUUCUAUUAUUAAAUAAAAACAAUAACAAAGGUGUGGCUGACUAGGGCUCGUUAAUUUUCUGAUUCACCCAACACUCCAGUGCGAGCAACAUACGGCUUACUUCCACACCUUAAAUAAUUGUUUCAUUUAUAGCUUCAGGGGGAAUCAAACAGCUCUGUGAGCCAAAUAGUGAUUAGAAAGCGAAAUUAAUAAAACCGAGUAAUAGUGAUUAGAAAUCGAAAGGUAAUAAAACCGAGUAAUAGAAUCGUGACUUAAGCAGACUGUUUAAUCAGAUUUUAUUUUUCUGUCAUUCUGUUUUCAUUAUUCUUUCUUUCUUUCUUUGAAAUCGAUCUUCAAAGACACUAAACCUUUACUAAAAUGUCAUUGUUAUUUAGUCGUAAGAGGGCUAGUUCUUAAACAUGGCUUGAAACCCUAGUGUUCCAAAGAUACUUAGCAACCAGAAAAACCCAUCGUGAACACGAAUGGCUAUUAUCCUGGGUGCUAUGGCUCUCCUAGAGCGUUUGUAAAACACGUUUUAUGACACGUCAUGGUGUUAAAUGUCAAAUAGCCUUCAAGAAAUCCAUGUCAUUUCUGUAAAAAAGGUUCUUCAAAAGCCCGGUCGCUAGUAAAGGGGCAACCUCUUGCAAACAAGCGUGAGAUGUGUCUGAAUAAAACCGGCUGAGUAGUUUCACCCUGUCUAAUCCGGACACACGCUUUGUCUAGUUUUCGUAAGGACAACGCUUCCCACCUUGGUGACGACAUCAUAUGAAUUGACAGAAGAGGACUAAUAAAGACUAUAAUGGAAGCCAUAUUGUUUCGCACCAUAAAAAAUGCACAGCAGUUUUAAGAAAGGGAGAUAUAAAAGAACCGAUUGGACACGAUUCAAACACACUUCAAUAAAUCUUAAUCGAAUUUUUUCGUGGUUAAUAUUUAAAUCAAUCCACUGUAAACGGUCCAAUCUCUCAAAAUGGAGUUGAUUGUGACUGUAAAAAAACGGUUCUCCUCAUGAUUAAACUACGGAUAAAACCGAUCAAUAUGUACUGCCUGCGAUAAUUGUUUUCCCGACGCUCGUGAGUGAUCCAAUAGCAUUCUUGCAUGAUAAGACGAUCUCUUAGGACACCGACACGAUCCGCUCAUAAUAAGCUAACGGGAAAAGCUUUUGAACUUCUUCUCAUUUAAACAGAUAAGUUAUAAAUGAACAAAUGGCUUUUAUGAGUUGACGGAUCAUAAGAAAGCGAAAUGAAAAGGCCCUCAAAGAAAUUAAGACACUAAAACUACUCAUUUUCACUUAGACGGAUAAGUAAGAUGAGUUUUUUAUGAGUGGUUGUUUUAACACGUAACAAUGCAUAGCCAGGGAGUUAAUGGGCUAUUGAUAAUAACAAAAAGUCGUUUGCACAGCCGUAGGUGCUGUUUCAAGAGGCAAUGACAGAAUGUAUAAUAUCAGACAAUGAUAUCAGACGAUUUCCGAAAGCUGUUUCAGAAGACGAUGAGAGGGAGCGCAUGAUCUCCCAUAAGCGUCUAAUGGUCACGCGUUACAUUAAAUGCAUCAUAUGUUUCAUAAGAGAAUAAAUGAUAUUUUAUAAACGACACGCGAUGUUUUCAAAACUGCAAAGCAACGCAUAAAAUUGCGUUACAUUUUCGAUGAGUAAAAAGAAAUGAUAACUUCUGUUAAACUGUCACGCAUUGCAAAAAAACGAUAAUGUUCAAUGAGAGGUAAUAAAUGAUAUCUCAUAGACGUCACGCGAAGUCUGUAAAAAUGUCACGCAUUACUUAAAUUACAUGUUCGAUGAGUGUAAUUGUCACGUAUAACACGAGAACGUUACAUGUUCAAAGAAAGGCAUUUGUAAGUGUCACACAAUGCAUGUCACGUAAGUCGUGUAUAGAAUGUAACCCUAUUUCAGUCACGUUGUCAAGCUAAGCUC